rnacentral:rRNA from 1 species
GGGGGAAGCUUGGCUCCCUGGAUAGUUAUCGGCGGACGGGUGAGUAACACGUGGGUAACCUGCCUGUAAGACUGGGAUAACUCCGGGAAACCGGGGCUAAUACCGGAUGCUUGUUUGAACCGCAUGGUUCAAACAUAAAAGGUGGCUUCGGCUACCACUUACAGAUGGACCCGCGGCGCAUUAGCUAGUUGGUGAGGUAACGGCUCACCAAGGCGACGAUGCGUAGCCGACCUGAGAGGGUGAUCGGCCACACUGGGACUGAGACACGGCCCAGACUCCUACGGGAGGCAGCAGUAGGGAAUCUUCCGCAAUGGACGAAAGUCUGACGGAGCAACGCCGCGUGAGUGAUGAAGGUUUUCGGAUCGUAAAGCUCUGUUGUUAGGGAAGAACAAGUGCCGUUCAAAUAGGGCGGCACCUUGACGGUACCUAACCAGAAAGCCACGGCUAACUACGUGCCAGCAGCCGCGGUAAUACGUAGGUGGCAAGCGUUGUCCGGAAUUAUUGGGCGUAAAGGGCUCGCAGGCGGUUUCUUAAGUCUGAUGUGAAAGCCCCCGGCUCAACCGGGGAGGGUCAUUGGAAACUGGGGAACUUGAGUGCAGAAGAGGAGAGUGGAAUUCCACGUGUAGCGGUGAAAUGCGUAGAGAUGUGGAGGAACACCAGUGUCGAAGGCGACUCUCUGCUCUGUAACUGACGCUGAGGAGCGAAAGCGUGGG